UCAGAAGUAGAUCGAUUGUCAUUCCCAAGGAAAAGCUUGUGUGUGAAAUAAACUCUUUGCCAAAGCCGCUAGAUAUGCACUGAAGAAGUCUCUGCUGGACUGUUUCUGCUUUUGAAUAUAGAUUACUUUAAUACCCCUACAAAUUUCACAUGGGUUGCCAUGAGGAAAAGGCAUCAUGAUAAUCAUACCCAAAAGGAAAUGCAG
rnacentral:lncRNA from 1 species